GGUGCGUCUCGGGCCUCACGGUUCGUUGCGUGCUCUCGUGUGGCGUUGGAUGCCUUGGAUCACACUGCACCCCAAGUCCGCCGCUUAUGCUAUAACUCUUCUUAGAGGGAUUCACGGCACUGAAGCCGUAAGAGACUGAGAGCAAUAACAGGUCUGUGAUGCCCUUAGAUGCUCUGGGCCGCACGCGCGCUACAAUGCCGGGCACAGCAGGUGUUUCUCCUGCUCCGACAGGAGCGGGUAACCCUCUGAAAGCCAGUGUUCUUGCAAGUGAUUCCUCCCUCGUGGAGUUUCACAGAGGCGUGCUUGGGCCUGGGACUUGCAAUUCUUUCCCACCAACGAGGAAUGCCUAGUAGCGGCGGGUCACUGAGCCCGCUGUGACUCAGUCCCUGCCCUUUGUACACACCGCCCGUCGCUACUACCGAUUGGGUGUACCAGUGAGAGCCUUGGACUGGCGUCCGUUGUUGCUCGCAAGAGUGACAAGCGGGUCCGACGGAAAGAGGUCCGAA
rnacentral:rRNA from 1 species